UUAAAUGGGGGAUUCUCAGAGAUAAAACAGUUGAUAUUCAAUGAAAUGGGGGUUUUCCGAAGAGAAAAUGUGUGAUUUUCGCUUAAAUGUGGGAUGUUUGAAAAGAAAUCUCAUGAUUUUCGCUUAAAUGGGGGAUUUCCGAGAAGAAAACACGUGAUUUUCACUUAAAUGGCAGAUUUCUGAAGAGAAAACGCGUGAUUUUCACUUAAAUGGGGGAUUUCCGAAGAGAAAACACAGGAUUAUCGCUUAAAUGGGGGAUUUUCAAAGAUAAAAUGCAUGAUUUUCGCUUAAAUGCGGGAUUUGCGAUGAGAAAACGCAUAAUUUUUGCUUAAAUGGGGGAUUUCUGAUGAGAAACUGUGUGAUUUUUCUUUAAUGAGGGAUUUCCGAAUAGAAAACGCGUGAUAUUUGCUUAAAUGUAGGAUUCUCGGAGAUAAAUCAUGUGAUAUCCGAUUAAAAGGGGGAUUUCCGAAAAGAAAACUCGUGAUUUUUGCUUAAAUGGGGGAUUUCUGAUGAGAAAACGCGUGAUAUUUGCUUAAAUGGUGGAUUUCUGAAGAGGAAACACGACAUUUUCGCUAAAAUGGGGGAUUCUCGGAGAUAAAUCACGUGAUAUCCGAUUAAAAGGGGGAUUUCCGAAAAGAAAACCCGUGAUUUUUGCUUCAAUGGGGGAUUUCUGAAGAUAAAACGCGUGAUUUUUGCUUAAAUGUGGGAUUUAUGAAGAGAAAACUCGUGAUUUUUGCUUAAAUGGGGGAUUUCUGAUGAGAAAACUCGUGAUUUUCACUUAAAUGGGGGAUUUCCGAAGAGAAAACACAGGAUUAUCGCUUAAAUGGGGGAUUUUCAAAGAUAAAUGCAUGAUUUUCGCUUUAAUGCGGGAUUUGCGGUGAUAAAACGCUUAAUUUUUGCUUAAAUGGGGGAUUUCUGAUGAGAAACUGUGCGAUUUUUGCUUAAAUGGGGGAUUUCCGAAGAGGAAACGUGUGAUAUUUGCUUAAAGGUGGGAUUCUUGGAGAUAAAUCACGUGAUAUCCGAUUAAAAGUUGGAUUUCGGAAAAGAAAACUCGUGAUUUUUGCUUAAAUGGAGGAUUUCUGAUGAGAAAACGCGUGAUAUUUGCUUAAAUGGGGGGUUUCUGAAGAGGAAACACGACAUUGUCGCUAAAAUGGGGGAUUUCCGAAGAUAAAACGCGUGAUAUUUGCUUAAAUGGGGGAUUUCCAAAGAGAAAAUUCAUGAUUUUUGCUUAAAUGGGGGAUUUCCAAAGGGAAAACGCAUGAUAUUUGCUUAAAUGUGGGAUUCUCGGAGAUAAAUCACGUGAUAUCCGAUUAGAAGGGGGAUUUCCGAAAAGAAAACUCGUGAUUUUUGCUAAAAUGGGGGAUUUCCGAAGAGAAAACGCGUGAUUUUCGCUUAAAUGGGGGAUUCUCAAUUAAAAACCCGUGAUAUUCGCUUAAAUGGGUGAUUUCCGAGGAGAGAAUUCAUGAUUUUCGCUUAAAUGGGGG
ensembl:lncRNA